GCUGUAAUGAGCGACUUGGGAGUUCAUGAAGAAAAACUAUGGUUUCUGUACGACGACGAAAAAAUUUUUGUGUUCUCAGACGUUCCUCAUAUGAUAAAAUUGUUAAGGAACCACUUCCUGGACUAAGGUUUUAUUAUAAAUGGGAAAGAAGUGAAAAAAGAAAUAAUUUUGGAGCUGCUUUCGUGUACCUCGAACGAUCUGUCAAUAACACAUACAAUUUCGGUGAGCCAUCUUAAUGUAGCUGGACCCCACAGACAAAAGGUGAAAACGGCUACAAAACUAUUUUCCAACACCAUAGCGCAAGCUAUUAAACGAGCAGCGACUCUAGGCUAUCUAAGUGGACAUAGUUGGAAUGAAUGUUUCGAGUUAUUUAAAUUGACUAAUGAUUGGUUCGAUGUUAUGAACGUAAAGGUGCCUCACCCAGACGGAAGAGAACGACGUAGGGCUUACGGAUUAUCUCUUGACGCACAAGAUACAAUUUUGGAUGAAAUGACGAAUAUGAU